AUUGAACGCUGGCGGCAUGCCUUACACAUGCAAGUCGAACGGCAGCACGGGAGCAAUCCUGGUGGCGAGUGGCGAACGGGUGAGUAAUAUAUCGGAACGUGCCCGGUCGUGGGGAUAACGUAGCGAAAGCUACGCUAAUACCGCAUACGAUCUACGGAUGAAAGCGGGGGAUCGCAAGACCUCGCGCGAUUGGAGCGGCCGAUAUCAGAUUAGGUAGUUGGUGAGGGUAAAGGCUCACCAAGCCGACGAUCUGUAGCUGGUCUGAGAGGACGACCAGCCACACUGGGACUGAGACACGGCCCAGACUCCUACGGGAGGCAGCAGUGGGAAUUUUGGACAAUGGGCGCAAGCCUGAUCCAGCAAUGCCGCGUGCAGGAUGAAGG
rnacentral:rRNA from 1 species